GAUAAUUCAUACAGGACAAAAACAAUUUGGCUGUUCUGAAUGUGGACGAAGAUUUGGACUAAAGAGCAAUCUGAACAAACACAUGAUAAUUCAUACAGGACAAAAACAGUUUGUCUGUUCUGAGUGUGGUCAAAGAUUUGGGCAAAAGAGCAGCCUGACCAGACACAUGAUAAUUCAUACAGGACAAAAACAAUUUGCCUGUUCUGAAUGUGGUCAAAGAUUU